AACGAACGCUGGCGGCAUGCCUAACACAUGCAAGUCGAACGAGACCUUCGGGUCUAGUGGCGCAAGGGUGCGUAACGCGUGGGAACCUGCCCUUAGGUUCGGAAUAACUCCCCGAAAGGGGUGCUAAUACCGGAUAAUGUCUUCGGACCAAAGAUUUAUCGCCUUUGGAUGGGCCCGCGUUGGAUUAGCUAGUUGGUAGGGUAAAAGCCUACCAAGGCGACGAUCCAUAGCUGGUCUGAGAGGAUGAUCAGCCACACUGGGACUGAGACACGGCCCAGACUCCUACGGGAGGUAGCAGUGGGGAAUAUUGGACAAUGGGCGAAAGCCUGAUCCAGCAAUGCCGCAUGAGUGAUGAAGGCCUUAGGGUUGUAAAGCUCUUUUACCCGGGAUGAUAAUGACAGUACCGGGAGAAUAAGCUCCGGCUAACUCCGUG
rnacentral:rRNA from 1 species